AUACGGAGGGUGCGAGCGUUGUUCGGAAUUAUUGGGCGUAAAGAGCAUGUAGGCGGUCUGUUAAGUCUGGUGUGAAAGCCCGGGGCUCAACCCCGGAAGUGCAUUGGAUACUGGCAGACUUGAGUAUGGGAGAGGAAAGCGGAAUUCCGAGUGUAGGAGUGAAAUCCGUAGAUAUUCGGAGGAACACCAGUGGCGAAGGCGGCUUUCUGGACCAAUACUGACGCUGAGAUGCGAAAGCGUGGGGAGCAAACAGGAUUAGAAACCCUAGUAGUCCCC
rnacentral:rRNA from 1 species